UUGCUUCAGCAGCACAUAUACUUACAGAGAAGAACUCUUUGCCCCUGUGCUAGGAUGACAUAUAAAUUUGUGAAGGGUUUCACAUUUUU
rnacentral:snRNA from 1 species